rnacentral:rRNA from 1 species
UACAGAGGUCUCGAGCGUUAGGCGGAAUCACUGGGCUUAAAGCGUGUGUAGGUGGAUGGGUAAGUACCUUGUGAAAUCCCACAGCUUAACUGUGGAACUGCUGGGUAUACUGCCUGUCUUGAGUCACUCAGGGGCGAGCGGAACAGAUGGUGGAGCGGUGAAAUGCGUAGAUAUCAUCUGGAACGCCAAUGGUGAAGACAGCUCGCUGGGGGUGUACUGACACUGAGACACGAAAGCCAGGGGAGCGAACGGG